rnacentral:rRNA from 1 species
AUUGAACGCUGGCGGCAGGCCUAACACAUGCAAGUCGAGCGGAUGAAGGGAGCUUGCUCCUGGAUUCAGCGGCGGACGGGUGAGUAAUGCCUAGAAACCUCCCUGUCUGCUGGGUCUAACGUCAGAAAGCGGGGGCUAUUACGCCAAAAGUCCUGAGGACGAACGGGGGGGAGCUUCGGACCUUCGGCUCUCGGGUGAGCCAAGGUCGGAUUAGCUAGUUGGUGGGGUAAAGGCCUACCAAGGCGACGAUCCGUAACUGGUCUGAGAGGAUGAUCAGUCACACUGGAACUGAGACACGGUCCAGACUCCUACGGGAGGCAGCAGUGGGGAAUAUUGGACAAUGGGCGAAAGCCUGAUCCAGCCAUGCCGCGUGGGUGAAGAAGGUCUUCGGAUUGUAAAGCACUUUUAGUGGGGAGGAAGGGCAGUAAGUUAAUACCUUGCUGUUUUGACGUUACCAAAAGAAUAAGCACCGGCUAACUUCGUG